GUGGGGGCAGGGUCAGGCAUGUCUGAGCUCAGACUCUCUGUGGUGGGUCUUGCUGCAGCUGCUCUGGAGGUUGGGGGUGAGGUUCCCAGGUCAAUGAAGUUGUGUACCUAGGAGGAUUAUGGCUGCUUCUGGUGAGUCAUGCAGGUUGUCAGGGAAGUGAGGGAAAGCCGGCAGUCAAAGGCCUCACCCAGCUCCCAUGCAAUCCAAAGGGCUGGUCUCACUCCCACUGUGCCCCCCUAACAACCUUAAGUCUGUUUCCAGGCAGGGGGCAAGCAGGGUUGAGAACUUGCCCCAGGCUGCCUGCCUCCCAGCUGUGAAAGAAAAGGACUAUGGUUCUUCCCCCACCUGUGGAGCCUGCACACCAGAUUCAUGCCCUCCCCCUGAGUUCUGGCCAGCAGGCUUCUCACCCGGUUCAAAUUGUUACAAAGUUCAGCUGGAGACUUCCUUCUUCCUGUAGUGUUUUCCCCUGCACCUCUGGCUGCUUUUUCAAAGGAUCCCUGUGAUGCCAGCCAGGAAUGGCCUGUGAGCUUCCACAGCCUUUCCCGCUGCUUCCUCUACCCCUGUAUUUCUCUCGGCUCUCUCAAUUGACUCAGGUCCAGAAAUUACCCUUGUUUGGAGAACUUCAAAAAAUUAUCAGAUGAGAACUCACAGAAGGCCAGCAAACUCCACACAGUCAUGCAACCAGAGCCUCAGACAAUGGCCCCUUCUGCUGAGGACCCUUAAAUAAGCUUCUGAGGGAGACUGCCGUUUUCCCAAAACAGCGCCCCCUGUCAGCAGGAAGCAGUUAAGAUCAGUCUUCGUCCUUAUCCUUAUCCUUAUUCUAAUGGCAGUUAGAUGUACUUCUUCAGAGUGGCAGAAUUAGGUAGCCAAGUAAGAAGCGCCCCCUGGCAGAACCUCUGACCAGCUUGCCCACUGGGAGGAGUGCGCACUGGGGUGGAACGUUGGAAAGUUCACACCAUUUGCAUGGGGGAGGAGCCUGGCCUCUCCUGAUGUGGGGCGGUAACCUGGGAUUCAAUCUGUGAGGUGGGAAGCCAGCUAGCGAGACUCUCACUUCGCCGAGUGUCUCUGUUUCCCUUUUUUCCUUUUCACCCAAUAAAUUCCAUUUUUCUCACCCUUCAAAUUGUCUGCGGGGCUAAUCUUUGAUGGUCAAGUGACAAGAACCUGGCUUUUAGCUGAACUAAGGAGAAAGUCCUACAACAAACAUUAGGAUAGUGCUGAGGGGAAAUGUGGGGUUGGAGCCCCCACACAGUCCCCACCAGGGCACUAUCUAGUGAAGCUGUGGCAAUGGGGCCACUGCCUCAAUAGCUAAGAAUGGUAGAGCCAUCAGUAGCUCGCACCCUGAGCCUGGAAAAGCCGCAGUCACUCAAAGCCAACAUGUGAGACCAGCCACAGGGGCUGACCUGUGAAAAGUCACAGAGGCAGAGCUGCCCAAGGCCUUGUGAGCCCACCCUUUGUACCAGUGUGCCCUGGAUGCAGAACAUGGAGUUAACAAGAUUAUUUUGGACAUUAAGUUUGAAUGUUUGCCCUGCUGUGUUUCAGACUUGCAUGGAGCCUGUUGCACCUUCCUUUUGGCCAAUUUCUCCCUUUUGGAAUGGGAAUGUUGACCCAAUGAUACUAUUAUACAAUGAUACUAUUGUAUUUUGGAAGUAAAUAACUUGUUUUUGAUCUGACAGGCUCAUAGGUGGAAGGAACUUACCCUGAGUCUCAAGUGAGGCUUUAGACUUUUGAGUUAAUGCUGAAAUGAUUAAGACUUUGGGGGACUAUUGCAAAGGGAUGAUGCAUAUUGCAAUGUGAGGAGGACAUAAGAUUUGGGGGGCCAGAGGUUAAAUGAUAUAGUUUGGAUGUUUGUCCCCUCCAAAUCUCAUGCUGAAAUAUAAUCCCCAAUGUUGGAGGUGGGGCCUGGUGGGAGGUGUUUGGAUCAUGGGGGUGGAUUCUCAUGAAUGUUUUGAUGCCAUCCUCACAAUAAUCAGUGAGUUCUCCCUCUAUGAGUUCACACCAGAUCUGGUUAUUUAAAAGAGCCUGGAACUUCCUCUUCACUCUCUUGCUUCCUCUCCCACCAUGUGAUACACAGCAUCCCCCUUCGCCUUCUGCCAUGAUUGUAAGCUUCCUGAGGCCCUUACCAGAAGCAGAUGCUGGUGCCACACUUUCUGUACAACCUGCUGAGCUAUGAGCCAAAAUAAAC
rnacentral:lncRNA from 10 species